rnacentral:rRNA from 1 species
UUGGAGGGCAAGUCUGGUGCCAGCAGCCGCGGUAAUUCCAGCUCCAAUAGCGUAUAUUAAAGUUGUUGCAGUUAAAAAGCUCGUAGUUGAAUUUCGGGAUCAAUACGUCGGUCGUGCUUAGGUACGUACUGGCGUAAUUGAUUUCUCCCUUCUGACGAACCAUGAUGUCAUUAACUUGGUGUCAUGGGAAAUCAGGACUGUUACUUUGAAAAAAUUAGAGUGUUUAAAGCAGGCUCACGCUUGAAUACAUUAGCAUGGAAUAAUGAAAUAGGACGUUCGAUCCUAUUUUGUUGGUUUUUAGGAUCAACGUAAUGAUUAAUAGGGAUAGCUGGGGGCAUUAGUAUUCAAUUGUCAGAGGUGAAAUUCUUGGAUUUAUUGAAGACUAACUACUGCGAAAGCAUUUGCCAAGGAUGUUUUCAUUAAUCAAGAACGAAAGUUAGGGGAUCGAAGACGAUCAGAUACCGUCGUAGUCUUAACCAUAAACUAUGCCGACUAGGGAUCGGAUGAUGUUAAUUUUUUAAUGACUCAUUCGGCGCCUUACGGGAAAC